GAUGAACGCUGGCGGCGUGCCUAAUACAUGCAAGUCGAGCGAACGGACGAGAAGCUUGCUUCUCUGAUGUUAGCGGCGGACGGGUGAGUAACACGUGGAUAACCUACCUAUAAGACUGGGAUAACUUCGGGAAACCGGAGCUAAUACCGGAUAAUAUUUUGAACCGCAUGGUUCAAAAGUGAAAGACGGUCUUGCUGUCACUUAUAGAUGGAUCCGCGCUGCAUUAGCUAGUUGGUAAGGUAACGGCUUACCAAGGCAACGAUGCAUAGCCGACCUGAGAGGGUGAUCGGCCACACUGGAACUGUGACCCGGUCCAGACUCCUACGGGAGGCAGCAGUAGGGAAUCUUCCGCAAUGGGCGAAAGCCUGACGGAGCAACGCCGCGUGAGUGAUGAAGGUCUUCGGAUCGUAAAACUCUGUUAUUAGGGAAGAACAUAUGUGUAAGUAACUGUGCACAUCUUGACGGUACCUAAUCAGAAAGCCACGGCUAACUACGUG
rnacentral:rRNA from 1 species